AAAAUACCUUCUCUCUCUUUGACACACUUUCUUUUUCUCCAUCUGUAAGCUGUAAACCCACCUACACCACCCACUGUAACCUAAUCAAUCCUUACCCCCACCACAAUUCAUCGCUUUGGCGACAGAUUAACCACCUCACCACCACUGUUCCGGCCACCACCUAAACCCUUCACCGACACCACUCUGGCAACCGACACUAGAACCACCCUCGCCAUUUUGGCGGCAGAUCCAUGAAAACCGUCCCAACAAGAAGAUGACGGUCUUCUUUCUGAAACGAAAAGAAUUUUUAUCAGUAGUGAUAGGAAAAUGGAAGUGGUGGUGAUGGUAAUUGCAGAUAAAGGGAGAGAGAGAAGUAGAUUAAGAGCAAACGUUAUGGGGCGGCAUGUGAGGGCGGUAUGCUCAAUAGCGCCGCAUAGCGCCGGUGAACACCGAAACGCACGGCGUUAUGGGCCAAAAAAGAAGAUCCGGCGCGAUAUGGAUAGCGGCGUGAUGUGUGAGUUGUUUGAAUUUUUUUUUUUUUUUUCUGGUUUUCCCCCAAUCAAAUUUAAGCAAUGUUUUUUAUAUUAAUUAAUAAAAUAGAAAAUUAUUAAAUAGGUAAUGAUUAGGCGAGGGCUUUAUGACUACGGGCUCUAGUGUUAUAACGCCCCAUAAAGCCCUUGUGUGACGUGGCACGACACGUGUCGCAUAACGCCCCACAAGGGGCUUUAUGACUACGGAUGGCCAAGAGAGGGUGUGUCUCAGCGUGUUUGAGAGAAAGAGGAGUGUGUGGUUUAUUUGUUUAAAUAUGUUUUAAAUAAAUGAGUAAAAUUACCAUCAUACCCUCAUGUGCAAGGCAUAUGUUAUACUUAACUGAAAAUUUUAACCUUGUUUGUGUUAAAGGACGUAUGGUGUAAUGAGUUUUACAAAUAAAGGACUGUGACUGUAAUUAUUGAAGUUAAAGGGUAUCAAUUGUAAUCUGAUACAAACAUAAAGGACCAAAAGUGUAAUUUACCCAAUAAAAUAUUUACACUAUAGAAACUGUAGAAAUAGGUGAGACAUUAAUUUUUCCAACAGGAACUUAUUUCAGUUAGUUAAUGUACCUUGGGAUCGAAUAAAACUUGAAAUUUCCAAUAUUCCGACUUUCGAGGCUAGUUAUAACUUAGACCAUGUGUAGUCAUAAAGCCCCCAAAGGGGCGUUAUGCGCCAUGUGGCAUGCCACGUCACCCCGGGGCUUUAUGGGGCUUGAGGCCGUAGUCAUAAAGCCCUACCUCAUCAUAACCAAAGUGUAAAAUGCAGGGACCAAAGGUGUAAAAUGCAGGGGACCAAAGUGUUUUAAUGCAGGGACCAAAUUGUAAAAUGCAGGGACCAAAGUGGAAAAUGGAGAACAAAUCCCCUUCUUCCUCCUUCUUCCUCGCGCCGCUAUGUCCUUCACGCCUUUCUUUUUUUUUUUCUCAAAGCGCCCCGGGGGGCGGUGUAAUCGGCGCCAUACCGGCGCUAUGUUCUUCUUCGCGCCCCAUUACAUGUGGCCUUAUAACUUGCUAUGCGGUAUGGUGAUGAUCUUCCCUUAAAGGAUGAUUCGUCACGUAGGCAUCACGUAGGAUGGGUGUGAGGAUAAGGCAAAGAGGAUGAAGGUAUGGAAAUGGGGGGAUGAACCUAAAAUGUAUAUGUAUAUAUUGUAUGUAUAGGUGUGUGAGAGAGAGGAGGGUUGUUUUUGUCUUGUUGUGGCCCGUCGGACACGUCCACCUGCGGACGGUGCGCCGCUUGGGGUGGGCAACAUGGAAAGAGGACUGGCACCGGUGGGGGACGGUCUAAAGCCGAUCCCCAUACCGAGCAGCCUAAGAUCAUGUGUAAUGGACAUUACAGGGUCGUAAAAGAAUUGAUAACGCUUUCAACA